UCGAGAAUUUUUCUCAAUGGGGGAAACCCUGAAGGAGCGACGCCGCGUGGAGGAUGAAGGUCUUCGGAUUGUAAACUCCUGUCAUUGAUGAACAAAGCCAUCGCAAGGUGGUCUGAUAGUAAUCGAAGAGGAAGAGACGGCUAACUCUGUGCCAGCAGCCGCGGUAAUACAGAGGUCUCAAGCGUUGUUCGGAUUUAUUGGGCGUAAAGGGUGCGUAGGCGGCAGAUCAAGUUAGAUGCGAAAUACCCGGGCUCAACUCGGGAACUGCAUUUAAUACUGCUCUGCUCGAGUAUUAGAGAAGAAGCUGGAAUUUACGGUGUAGCAGUGAAAUGCGUAGAUAUCGUAAAGAACGUCAGUGGCGAAAGCGAGCUUCUAGAUAAUUACUGACGCUGAGGCACGAAAGCUAGGGGAGCAAACGGGAUUAGAUACCCCUGUAGUCC
rnacentral:rRNA from 1 species